rnacentral:lncRNA from 1 species
UGGUGCAUCGUUGCGAGUCUUAACAUCCUCCCCCGCAAUGAGCACCGGCUCAUUCCUGGCCGCCAUUGUCCACACAGGCUGGCAAUUCAUUGAGGUCGAG